AACGAACGCUGGCGGCAUGCCUAACACAUGCAAGUCGAACAAGACCUUCGGGUCUAGUGGCGCACGGGUGCGUAACGCGUGGGAACCUGCCCUUAGGUUCGGAAUAACUCCCCGAAAGGGGUGCUAAUACCGGAUAAUGUCUUCGGACCAAAGAUUUAUCGCCUUUGGAUGGGCCCGCGUUGGAUUAGCUAGUUGGUAGGGUAAAAGCCUACCAAGGCGACGAUCCAUAGCUGGUCUGAGAGGAUGAUCAGCCACACUGGGACUGAGACACGGCCCAGACUCCUACGGGAGGCAGCAGUGGGGAAUAUUGGACAAUGGGCGAAAGCCUGAUCCAGCAAUGCCGCGUGAGUGAUGAAGGCCUUAGGGUUGUAAAGCUCUUUUACCCGGGAUGAUAAUGACAGUACCGGGAGAAUAAGCUCCGGCUAACCCCGUG
rnacentral:rRNA from 1 species